UACGGGGGGGGUAAGCGUUGUUCGGAAUUACUGGGCGUAAAGGGCUCGUAGGCGGCCAACUAAGUCAGACGUGAAAUCCCUCAGCUUAACCGGGGAACUGCGUCUGAUACUGGAUGGCUUGAGUUCGGGAGAGGGAUGCGGAAUUCCAGGUGUAGCGGUGAAAUGCGUAGAUAUCUGGAGGAACACCGGUGGCGAAGGCGGCAUCCUGGACCGAUACUGACGCUGAGGAGCGAAAGCCAGGGGAGCAAACGGG
rnacentral:rRNA from 1 species